rnacentral:rRNA from 1 species
AGCAGCCGCGGUAAUUCCAGCUCCAAUAGCGUAUAUUAAAGUUGUUGCAGUUAAAAAGCUCGUAGUUGAACUUCGGGAUCAAUUGAUAUGGUCAUGCCUUGGUAUGUACUGUUCAUAUUGGUUCUCACCUUCUAAUGAACCAUAAUGUCAUUUAUUUGAUGUUAUGGGGAAUUAGGACUGUUACCUUGAAAAAAUUAGAGUGUUUAAAGCAGGCUCACGCUUGAAUACAUUAGCAUGGAAUAAUGAAAUAGGACAUCGCAUUCUAUUUUGUUGGUUUCUAGGAUCGAUGUAAUGAUUAAUAGGGAUAGUUGGGGGCAUUAGUAUUCAAUUGUCAGAGGUGAAAUUCUUGGAUUUAUUGAAGACUAACUACUGCGAAAGCAUUUGCCAAGGAUGUUUUCAUUAAUCAAGAACGAAAGUUAGGGGAUCGAAGACGAUCAGAUACCGUCGUAGUCUUAACCAUAAACUAUGCCGACUAGGGAUCGGAUGAUGUUGAUUUUUU